rnacentral:rRNA from 1 species
GACGAACGCUGGCGGCGUGCUUAACACAUGCAAGUCGAACGGUGAAGCUCCAGCUUGCUGGAGUGGAUCAGUGGCGAACGGGUGAGUAACACGUGAGCAACCUGCCCCUGACUCUGGAAUAAGCGCUGGAAACGGCGUCUAAUACUGGAUACGAGAAGGGUCCGCAUGGGCACUUUCUGGAAAGUUUUUCGGUUGGGGAUGGGCUCGCGGCCUAUCAGCUUGUUGGUGAGGUAAUGGCUCACCAAGGCGACGACGGGUAGCCGGCCUGAGAGGGCGACCGGCCACACUGGGACUGGGACACGGCCCAGACUCCUACGGGAGGCAGCAGUGGGGAAUAUUGCACAAUGGGCGAAAGCCUGAUGCAGCGACGCCGCGUGGGGGAUGACGGCCUUCGGGUUGUAAACCUCUUUCAGCAGGGAAGAAGCGAAAGGGACGGUACCUGCAGAAGAAGCACCGGCUAACUACGG